rnacentral:rRNA from 1 species
GUGGGGAAUAUUGCGCAAUGGGGGGAACCCUGACGCAGCAACGCCGCGUGGAGGAAGAAGGCCUUCGGGUCGUAAACUCCUGUCAUCAGGGACGAUAAUGACGGUACCUGAGGAGGAAGCCACGGCUAACUACGUGCCAGCAGCCGCGGUAAUACGUAGGUGGCGAGCGUUGUCCGGAAUUACUGGGCGUAAAGGGUGCGUAGGCGGAAUCUUAAGUCAGAUGUGAAAACCCAGGGCUUAACUUUGGGAUUGCAUUUGAAACUGAGGUUCUAGAGUGCAGGAGAGGGAAGCGGAAUUCCUAGUGUAGCGGUGAAAUGCGUAGAUAUUAGGAAGAACACCAGUGGCGAAGGCGGCUUUCUGGACUGUAACUGACGCUGAGGCACGAAAGCGUGGGGAGCAAACAGGAUUAGAAACCCUAGUAGUCC